rnacentral:pre_miRNA from 1 species
AGUGGAACUGCUGGGUUAUGUGAUAAAGCUGCAGAUACAUUUUUAAAGAAAUGCUGAAGUGUUUUCCAAAGAGGCUACACCAUUUUACUUCCCACCAGCAUU